CACGUGCAUUGGAAAUCGAAUCCAUGCGCGGCACUCAUCGUCGAGAGUAAUACGCCGCGCACCAACAGAUCAUUUCCUUCAGCUUGGUGAGCUUGGCAGCAGCAAUUAGAGCUCAGUGUUGCCUUUUUUUCUGACCUUUUUCUGACUUGAACUGCGCCGGGACACCUUUUUCCUGCUUGUGGCUGUUAGCUGUGUGGCGCCUCGCAUCAUCAUGCGUAGUCUUCAAAAUGUUUCGCGUGUGUUGACAAAUAUAUGUACGGGAGGUGGAGGGCUGGAUUCGUGCCUGUCGACGGUGUUAUCAUUAUGUUUGACUCACUGUGAUCUGCGCAUCUCCGGGAAUUAUUCGUGUUUCCAAUGUUGAAUGAUUCAGAAAUGGAGCACGAGCUGUCAGUUGGAUUCAUGAUUCUUCGGCAGAUUACUUAUCCUCUAUCAUUAGUUCUGCUAGGCAUCGUGGAUUGCGAAAAAUUGCAUUCGCAGAGCCCGAUUCCAGUAGCCCGGCUGUUACCAAUGAAGUGCUCAUGUAGGUGGCCAUUGAGGAACUGGCAAAUCGUUACUGGCUUCUAUGGUGACAUUAUCCCCAUUGAAACACAAAGGUUUGCGGACCAUACUAAUGUUAAGUGAGGCAUUGGACAAAGGCGCAAGGAAUCUUGUCAGGGCGUGAAGAACUGCGUUGAGAAUGUGGGAGUGAGGAACUUCAGUCUGAUCGGGGGAGGGAGGGUGUGGAGGCGCUGGGAAGUCAUCGAAGGCAUGUAAUUUGUCGACUGCAUCCACAAUUUGAGAGACGUUAACGGGAACAAGAUCAGCCAAGAUUGACAAGGAGUAAAAAGGAAUAUGCCAUCACUAGCCCACAAGUAAGAGAAGAAUAAAAACCAGAGGUAAGCAAUUCUAUCCCUUUUGUCAAUUUAUUCAACCAAUUAUGAUGUAAGGAAAGUCGAGUAUGAAAUAUCUAAGAGGUAUAGUGUUACUGAUGAUUGAGUCAAAUUUUUUUGGAAACUGAUGUUAGACUUGAUUGUAUUCAAAAUGGUAAUCAAGCAUGACAGUGAUCACCAUUGUAGUGCUUACCAUUAUUACAAUGAACCUUUGCUACAGAACAUAAACAAAUUGGUGAAAAUUUGUGUCCUUGUGUGGACUUCAACCACUAAAAUUUCCUGCUAAUUUCAUAAUAAUAAAACAGCAAUGUUAAGCUAUUGACAGUAAAACGACUAUAGAAGUUAAAGGAAUACAUUUGAAUGAAAAUUUUGACAACCUGAAGACAGAAGUGUUAUUAUAAAAUCUUUGUGAUUACUAUUACUUUAUCAUGUUAGAAGCAAAAUUAAAUAUUACUUACUUCAAGUUAUGCAUACUAACCACAACCUAUUUGAAAAAAUGAUUACCGAAAUGUUUAGAAAAUUAAGACUUUUCAACAUAAUAUGAAACUGGUACUUAUAAACGUUUUGAAUCUAGAUAUUAGUUAUGUUUAAACAAUUUAAAAAUUAACAAAGGAAGCAAGAAAUGACACUAGUCUUGAAAUGAAUUAAUGCAUGCAAAAAAAAAAAAAAAAAAAAAAAAAGAAAAAGAAAAAAGAAGAA